rnacentral:lncRNA from 1 species
AACAAGGAGAAUCCACCCAAAUGAUACUCGAGGAAGAAGACUGGAAUCGGAGUCAGUGUAAGUUCAUGUUAGCAGAAUAGAAACAGAUGUGAAUAAAGACAGCAACAUUUGCCACUGCUCAUAAAGGCUACAAUGAAAAUACAUACAUAUUUCUUUGCACCAUCAGCUGAAAGCAUCAGCAAAGAUGUCUGAAGAGCAACAAUGCUUACCCACAGAGCCUCACCUCAAAAGCCAUUCUCCAAUAACACAGGGCCAAAAGUAUUCUGAGAAAUAGCUGGGUCUAGGACUGAUACAGACAGUGUACAUGGUGAGUCUAAAGUAUCUUAGAGUGCCACAAAGUGGGGGUUGGUUUUGAAAUGUAUUUCUUUUUAUUUUAUGUGUGUGGAUGCUUUGGUUACUUGUGACUAUGCCGAGGUCAGGAAAGGGUUACAGCCCAUGUGAGCCGCUAUGUGGGUGCUGGGAAUCGAACCUGGAGCAGCCAUGCUUCUUAACUGUCUAGUUAUGUCUCUAGUCCCAAAGAGAUUUUUGAAAAGUGUUUUUUAAGACUUGCAAAGAUAGGUACCUCGAAAUGAAAACGGGGAUCAGUCCGAAGAGCUCCCAAUAUGCCAGAAACAAUCUGAACAGCAAAGCAGACUCUGUUAUAGUCCAAACUGUAACGUGAGUAUCCAUGAGACUAUUCUAAUAUAUUUACUAAAUAAGUGAAUUAUUAAAU